UGGGAACUACCUUUGGUUCGGAACAACACAGGGAAACUUGUGCUAAUACCGGAUAAGCCCUUACGGGGAAAGAUUUAUCGCCGAAAGAUCGGCCCGCGUCUGAUUAGCUAGUUGGUGAGGUAAUGGCUCACCAAGGCGACGAUCAGUAGCUGGUCUGAGAGGAUGAUCAGCCACAUUGGGACUGAGACACGGCCCAAACUCCUACGGGAGGCAGCAGUGGGGAAUAUUGGACAAUGGGGGCAACCCUGAUCCAGCCAUGCCGCGUGAGUGAUGAAGGCCCUACGGUUGUAAAGCUCUUUUGUGCGGGAAGAUAAUGACGGUACCGCAAGAAUAAGCCCCGGCUAACUUCGUGCCAGCAGCCGCGG
rnacentral:rRNA from 1 species